rnacentral:rRNA from 1 species
AUUGAACGCUGGCGGCAGGCCUAACACAUGCAAGUCGAGCGGAUGAAGGGAGCUUGCUCCUGGAUUCAGCGGCGGACGGGUGAGUAAUGCCUAGGAAUCUGCCUGGUCGUGGGGGAUAACGUCCGGAAACGGGCGCUAAUACCGCAUACGUCCUGAGGGAGAAAGUGGGGGAUCUUCGGACCUCACGCUAUCAGAUGAGCCUAGGUCGGAUUAGCUAGUUGGUGGGGUAAAGGCCUACCAAGGCGACGAUCCGUAACUGGUCUGAGAGGAUGAUCAGUCACACUGGAACUGAGACACGGUCCAGACUCCUACGGGAGGCAGCAGUGGGGAAUAUUGGACAAUGGGCGAAAGCCUGAUCCAGCCAUGCCGCGUGUGUGAAGAAGGUCUUCGGAUUGUAAAGCACUUUAAGUUGGGAGGAAGGGCAGUAAGUUAAUACCUUGCUGUUUUGACGGUACCAACAGAAUAAGCACCGGCUAACUUCGUG